rnacentral:rRNA from 1 species
UAAACUAGGAUUAGAUACCCUAUUAUAUUAAAGUUAAAUUUAUAAAUACUGAAUUAUUAAUAGAUAUUUCUUAAAAUUUAAAGAAUUUGGCGGUAAUUUAGUCUUGUCAGAGGAACCUGUUUUUUAAUCGAUACACCACGUUAUAUCUUACUUAUUUUAAGUAGUUUGUAUACCAUCAUUAGUAGAUAAUUUUAAAAGAACAAAUUAUUAAAAUUAAAUAUAUUAAAAAAAUUAGAUCAAGGUGCAGCUAAUAGAUAAGUUAAAAUGGGUUACAAUAAAAUUUAUUUAUACGAAAUAAUUUAAAAAAAUUAAAUUAUAAAGGUGGAUUUGAUUGUAAUAUAAGCUUAAUAAACUUCUAAGAUAGAAGCUCUAAAUUAUGUACACAUCGCCCGUCACUCUCAA